GGCUCUUUGGCAAUGUGGUCAGCGCGUGUGACUCUUAACCGGGAGUCCGGGGUUCCAUUCCCUGCCGGGCCC